rnacentral:lncRNA from 1 species
GGAUAAUCAUAAUACCUCUCUUAUAGAGGUUUUUGGGAAACCACAUGAAGUUCUCAGUACAUUGUGUGUCAGAUAAGCUCUCAGAAAGUGUUAGCUCUCAUUAAUAUUUUAUUAUGAAUGCCUUCCAGAAGGUGCUUCCUGGAGGGGCCUGCCCCACUGUUCCUGUGCUGAGUUCCAAGACAGCCUCAACUUCAACUAUCACCCCUCAGGCUUAAGCCUGCACCUCAGACCACCCAGUAGGGGAAGCUCCCCACAGGAGCAACCCCUCUCCCAAGUCCUAAGCCCUGAGCCCCCAGACCCAGAGAAGCUUCCUGUGCCCCCUGCCCCUCCAUCCAAGAGGCACUGCCGUUCACUCUCAGUGCCCGUGGACCUGUCUCGCUGGCAGCCAGUGUGGCGGCCCGCCCCCUCCAAGCUGUGGACUCCAAUCAAGCAUCGGGGCACUGGUGGAGGGGGUGGGCCGCAGGUGCCUCACCAGAGCCCCCCCAAGCGGGUCUCCAGCCUCAGGUUCCUCCAAGCUCCCAGUGCCUCUUCUCAAUGUGCCCCAGCCCACAGACCCUACAGUCCCCCUUUUUUCAGUCUGGCCCUGACCCAAGAUUCCUCUCGACCCUGUGCCACCUCCCCUCAAAGUGGCUCCUGGGAGAGUGAUGCUGAGUCCCUGUCACCCUGCCCACCCCAGCGCCGCUUCUCCCUGUCACCCAGCCUGGGCCCACAGGCAAGUCGCUUCUUGCCGUCUGCCCGGAGUUCCCCUGCAUCUUCCCCGGAGUUACCCUGGCGACCUCGAGGUCUCCGUAACCUUCCCCGAAGCCGCUCACAGCCUUGUGAUCUGGAUGCCCGCAAGACUGGGGUCAAGCGGCGCCACGAGGAGGAUCCCCGGCGUCUGCGGCCUUCCUUGGACUUUGACAAGAUGAAUCAGGUGGGACCAAUGUGAUGGGGAGAGCUUGGAUAGGAAUGUGUGGGGGGGGUCGGGGCAUCAUUUUUAUUCCUUCUUUUGAGCUGUCUCCUUGUUAGAGCUUCCCUGAAAGCUCUUUUCUGUCUGAGCUUUAUCUUAUUUUUUUAAUGGUACUGGAGAUUUAGCUAGGGCCUAAUACAUUCAAGGCAAUUGCUCUACCACUGAUCUCCAUCCCAAGCCCUUAUUUUAUUUUGAGACAGGGUCUUACUAAGUUGCUGAGGUUGUCCUGAUCCUCCUACCCCUGCCUCCCUAGAGGCUGUGAUUAAGUCUGUGAUUAUAGGCAUGUGACAUCAUACCUGGCCUGUCUGAGCUUUUGGUAAGAUGAUCCACCAACCUGGUUUGCAUUGGACUGUUCAAUUUUAGCACUGAAUGUCUUUUUUUUUUUUUUUUUUAGUUGUUAAUAUAACUUUAUAUGUGGUGCUGAGAAUCAAACCCAGUGCCUCACACAUGCUAGGCAAGUGCUUCUACCACUGAGCUACAACCCAGCUCCCUGAAAGUCUUGUCUUGUGAGAUUCCUCAGGCCUAGGGGUCACAGAGAAACUGGAGUGCAACCCUUGUUACACCUUCCAAAGGGAUCCCAGAUUGUCCUGCCAGAGGCAUUUUGCUUCCUCUGUAGGAGUACAUAAACCACAAGCCAGGUAUGGUGGUGUAUACCUGUGAUCCCAGCAACUCAGGAGGCUGAGGUAGGAGGAUCACAAGUUCAAGGACAGCCUCAGCAACUUAGUGCGCCCUCAGGAAUUUAGUGAGACCAUGUCUCAAAAUAAAAAAUAAAAAGAGCUGAGGAUGUAUCUCAGUAGUAAAGCACUCCUGGGUUCAAUCCUCAGUACCCCCAAUCCCCCCAAAAAGAGUGCAUAAAUCACAAAAGUCCCAUCACCAGUGAGUGCCCUAUUCCUCCUAGCCCUCUGGGCUGGUUUUGACACUUGCCUUUCACUGCUUCACAUGGGCCCGUGAGAGGCUUAAACAGAUGUUUAUCUGUUCAAUCAGUGUUUUCUGGCAUCCUAAUGUGAAUGCAGUUGUUGUAUAUACUUGCCUGCUUUUUUCAUGUUCUUUCUAGAUCAUUGGGUCACAAGUCUCUUUGAGAAUUUGUUCAUUUAUUCGUAACUGUCAUCCAACCACACAGCAAGCACUUAUUGAAAACCUACUAUAUACUUACUUGAUUCUGACUAGAGACUAGCAGAACAGUCAACUGAUGUUCCUGUCUGCAUGGACCUUAUAAAUGAGCUUCUAUCCUUGAAUCUGUUGGAAACCAGAUUCUCUUUCCUCAGAGAAAUUUGUGUUUGUAUAGUAAAUUUUCCAAAUUUUUUAUCAGGAUGCUUAUCAACCUCACCCUAAAACCUAAAAUUCCUGCCUUCAAGUGUAACUGAGAAGGGACACUUUGAAAUAUAUCUUAAGAUGCUGUAGGAAAUAUUAUUUUUUUCUUCAUCUUCUAACUUUGUCUUUUUUUUUUUUUUUUUGACAGAAACCCUACUCAGGAGGUCUCUGUCUCCAAGAAACAGCCCGGGAAGGCAGCAGCAUCUCUCCACCGUGGUUCAUGGCCUGUAGCCCCCCACCUCUCUCGGCUUCCUGCAGCCCCAUUGAGGGUUCCUCCCAGGUGCUGAGUGAAAGUGAAGAGGAGGAGGAGGGGGCUGUGCGGUGGGGGCGGCAGGCACUGAGCAAGCGGACACUGUGCCAGCAGGACUUUGGGGACCUGGACUUGAAUCUGAUUGAGGAGAACUAAAACUGAGAGGCUACUUCCUGGGGCCACACAGACUGACUCUCUUAUGGCUACUAACAAGUGUCGAGGCCCCAAGGCUGAGGGCCCAGCCUGGGAAUGGGGGUGAGUGGAGGGCUCCGACUCAGGGCAGCCGGAAAUCUUCUCGCUCCAGCAAGCUCGACCAUGCCAAGAGACUGGCCGGGACAAGAUAAACGGAGCUGGUGGCGGGAGGGACAGCCCCAGAGCAGACCCUUUCCAUGGCGGCCCUGAGUGUGAGUAUCCCUGCCGCUGAGAGAGCAAUGGGCAGGGAAGGAAGGGGUCUGCUGACCCCAGCUCGGGGAAUUUCACUAGCCCCUUUGCUUCAAAGGGCACUUGUGUCUUAGAAUUUGGCCAGGGUGGGGGGUUCAGUCAGCCUCCUCAGAGAAAUUGUGUGAGAGUGUGUGCGUGCAUGGGAGUGUACUUGAGGAGAAAAGUGUGUUUGCAUAGCCUUAGGGAAGGAAGGCAGUUGCUCCUUAACAACAGAGCAUCAUGAUACCCCAAGGAUCUUGAGUUUUUAAGGGGACAGUGGGCUUAUUCAAGGAGCCAAGAGGAUGGCUCCAAGUUUUCCUUUUUUUCUAAAGAGCUCUGGAACCAGGCUUAUAAUCCAUAGCAACACUGGCUCUGCAAGGGAUACUGUUUUGGGGUACACCAGGGCCUUUUAAGUGAUGUGACCUCAGCUAAUGGUCUUUUCCUCAGUCCCACCCCCUCCCACUAGAUCUAGUAUUGAGGGCUGCAGGGGUUGCCAUGUUUAUUCUGAGCUGGCCUGUUUUUUCUCAUCAGAUUGUCUAGGCCAUAUACAACUUGCCUCUCUGGCUCUCUGUGUAGAUGCAACAUGUGGGCAACAUGAGACUGGGCUGAAGGGCUCUGUGUCUUUUUCAUUGAGGGGACCUCUUCCUCUUAUCUUCUGACCAUCCAGUUUAGAGACAAGAUAGCAAGGCCCUAUCUUGGUCCCCACCAUCUUUUGAGGCAGACUUGCAACAAGAGUAGUAGCAUUCAGUCCCCAGCAGAAAGGGGUAAACUUGCCCUAGCACUGCCCUUUGGAAGCAGUCUGUAAGGAGACCUAUUCUUAUAAGAACCAGGCCCAGACUCUUUUCUGACAUGCUUGAGAAAGAAGAAGGGGUGAUCAGCAUUUAAUAGUUUGCUUAUCUUCCACUUCUGCCAGGAAAUGUUUAUUUUCUUCUAAUUGGCCCUGAGAGACCACAAGGAGGUUGGGGCUCACUGAGGGAUUGGCUAAGGAUGUGUAAAGCAAAGGCUGUGAGAAGCAGCUGGGAGUUUGUUGUUGUUGGAUUGAAUUUCCUUUUUUGUUUCUCAUCCACAACUUGAGCCAGGGCAGCAGGUCUCGGUGGCCUCAGUGGUGGAUUUGAGGACUAUAGAGCUUGUUAGGGCUGGCACCAGUGAAUAUGCAUACUGAAGCUGCUGCCAUAGUAGCCUAUAAGGUUUUGUCCAGCUUUGGUUAGACCCUGCAUGACCAAAUUGGACCUGCUCUUUCUGUUUAUUGCAAGAAGAGCAUUUUUCUGUUCAAUUUCCAGGGUGUCUUAGGACCCAAUUCCUCAUGAUAGGGAAGAAGACCAAAUUCUGUUUUUUCUUCCUUAUGGAAUUGAGCCUGACAUUUUAUAUAUCGUGUCAGAAUCAGAGGCUUUGGCCUCCUUGCCUCCACUUCAGAGGAGGUGGCCAUGUCUUCUUGAGCCUGUGGCCCUCAGAGGCUCUACCCUUCCAGGGCUCCUCCCAUCUCCUUGCUAGUUACCACAUAUUGCCACUUGGGCUACCAGGUCUCUAGGGGCCUGAGAGAGGCUCUCUAGAGAAUCCAGGGAAACUGUGAGCCCAGGAGUUGCCCAUCAUUGGUUUCAUCCCUCCCCUGGUUCUUCUCUCCCUCUUCAGGCCAUAAUUUCCCUGGUGCCGACUUCUUUUCCUCCUGGGGCAUCCUCAUCCCUGGGCUCUCUGCUGCAGAUUGGCUGUGCCAGUUUCCAGUAGUUCACUGGCAAUGCCAGCAGGGUCUCUAUAGGCCCUAAACUGAAGAAAUGAGAGCAGUGGUUCAGCUCCAUCCUGGCUUCCUUAGCACCUAGGGGAGAAGGUCUACAGUUGUUGUAUUUUAAUUCCAUUACUUUAAGUCUGGAAAGUUCAACUAGUCAGAACUAUCAUCUUGCUUCUUAAUCUAAGCACCUGUGGCCCUGGAAAAAGCCUUUUAAGAAGUGGUUCAUUUUGCUUUACACAAUAGGUCUGUUCCAACAGUUCUGUGUAAGCCAGAUGCUAUUUUUUUUUUUUUUUUAAUGCAUUUGGACUGCUGACUAUUUCAAAGCAGCCAUGAUUGCUUCUUUUGUAAAGCAAGCAACUUCCCUCUAUUUUAGCUGUUUUGAAUAUUUGGAUUUUCACAUAUUGGGCUUACCCAGAGUGGAACACAACUCCAGGGCUUGUGGCUGACGCUGGGUUGAUGUCUGCAUCUGUGCUGUGUGUGUGGUGUGGCUGGCCAGUAGGUGAGUAUUCCUGCGUGUGUGAGUGAAGCCACUCCCAGGCUGGUGCUCUCCUCCUGUGCCCGGUGACUGCCCAGUGGCAGCCCAGCUGCCCUUCACUCCCACCUGCUGCCAAAGUCCCUGUACUAAUGGGAUUACAAAAACAAAAGUGGAAAAAGAUUUUUCGUAAACUUUGUUUUAUAUUAAAAAAAAAAAUCCAUAAGUCUGUGUGUGUUAAACAUGAGGUUCUGCCUCUGUGGCUGUGUUUGAAAAAAUAAAGUUUUAUUAGAAUAAUCCAUUUUCCCAAGCAA